GAUGAACGCUGGCGGCGUGCCUAAUACAUGCAAGUCGAGCGAACGGACGAGAAGCUUGCUUCUCUGAUGUUAGCGGCGGACGGGUGAGUAACACGUGGAUAACCUACCUAUAAGACUGGGAUAACUUCGGGAAACCGUAGCUAAUACCGGAUAAUAUUUUGAACCGCAUGGUUCAAAAGUGAAAGACGGUCUUGCUGUCACUUAUAGAUGGAUCCGCGCUGCAUUAGCUAGUUGGUAAGGUAACGGCUUACCAAGGCAACGAUGCAUAGCCGACCUGAGAGGGUGAUCGGCCACACUGGAACUGAGACACGGUCCAGACUCCUACGGGAGGCAGCAGUAGGGAAUCUUCCGCAAUGGGCGAAAGCCUGACGGAGCAACGCCGCGUGAGUGAUGAAGGUCUUCGGAUCGUAAAACUCUGUUAUUAGGGAAGAACAUAUGUGUAAGUAACUGUGCACAUCUUGACGGUAUCUAAUCAGAAAGCCACGGCUAACUACGUG
rnacentral:rRNA from 1 species